UGUGAUGACAGUAAGCUCACCCUGAUAAUC
rnacentral:piRNA from 1 species